GCCGGUUUAGCUCAGAUGGUAGAGCACCUCACUUGUAAUGAGGGGGCCGCGGGUUCGAUUCCUGCAACCGGCACCA
rnacentral:tRNA from 2 species